GACGAACGCUGGCGGCGUGCUUAACACAUGCAAGUCGAGCGGUAAGGCCCUUUCGGGGGUACACGAGCGGCGAACGGGUGAGUAACACGUGGGUGACCUGCCCUCAGCCCUGGGAUAAGCCUGGGAAACCGGGUCUAAUACCGGAUAUGACUCCAUGACGCAUGUUGUGGGGUGGAAAGCCUUGUGCGGCUGAGGAUGGGCCCGCGGCCUAUCAGCUUGUUGGUGGGGUGAUGGCCACCAAGGCGACGACGGGUAGCCGGCCUGAGAGGGCGACCGGCCACACUGGGACUGAGACGCGGCCCAGACUCCUACGGGAGGCAGCAGUGGGGAAUCUUGCGCAAUGGGCGAAAGCCUGACGCAGCGACGCCGCGUGAGGGAUGACGGCCU
rnacentral:rRNA from 1 species